GCCAUUUAAAGUGGUACGCGAGCUGGGUUUAGAACGUCGUGAGACAGUUCGGUCCCUAUCUGCCGUGGGCGUUUGAGAAUUGAGAGGAGCUGCUCCUAGUACGAGAGGACCGGAGUGGACGAACCACUGGUGUUCGGGUUGUCAUGCCAAUGGCAUUGCCCGGUAGCUAAGUUCGGAACUGAUAACCGCUGAAAGCAUCUAAGCGGGAAGCAGGCCUCGAGAUGAGUUCUCACUGGAGCUUUAAGCUCCCUGAAGGGCCGUUGGAGACUACAACGUUGAUAGGCAAGGUGUGUAAGUGCUGUGAGGCAUUGAGCUAACUUGUACUAAUUACCCGUGAGGCUUAACCAUA
rnacentral:rRNA from 1 species